rnacentral:rRNA from 1 species
ACGUGUGCUCUUCCGAUCUCAAAGCUAGGGAGUGGGAGAGGUAGACGGUACUCGGUAGGAAGUGGUAAAAUGCUUUGAUCUAUCGAUGACCACCUGUGGCGAAGGCGGUCUACCAGAACACGUCCGACGGUGAGGGAUGAAAGCUGGGGGAGCAAACCGGAUUAGAUACCCGGGUAGUCCCAGCUGUAAACUAUGCAAACUCAGUGAUGCAUUGGCUUGUGGCCAAUGCAGUGCUGCAGGGAAGCCGUUAAGUUUGCCGCCUGGGAAGUACGUACGCAAGUAUGAAACUCAAAGGAAUUGGCGGGGGAGCACCACAAGGGGUGAAGCCUGCGGUUCAAUUGGAGUCAACGCCAGAAAUCUUACCCGGAGAGACAGCAGAAUGAAGGUCAAGCUGAAGACUUUACCAGACAAGCUGAGAGGUGGUGCAUGGCCGUCGCCAGCUCGUGCCGUGAGAUGUCCUGUUAAGUCAGGUAACGAGCGAGACCCUUGCCUCUAGUUGCCACCAUUACUCUCAGGAGUAGUGGGGCGAAUUAGCGGGACCGCCGCAGUUAAUGCGGAGGAAGGAAGGGGCCACGGCAGGUCAGUAUGCCCCGAAACUCUGGGGCCACACGCGGGCUGCAAUGGUAGCGACAAUUGGUUUCGAAUCCGAAAGGAUGAGGUAAUCCACAAACGCUACCACAGUUAUUCGUGAGGGCGA